CUCGGCCUUUGCCGGGGAAACCUGGCCGUCGCCCGGUUUGGGCGGGUUCAGGUUGCCGGAGCGAAUGGCGUUCAGGCGUUCCAGGCGUUCGGCCAGGG
rnacentral:tRNA from 1 species